AGUUAAUUUAACCAUAUGUGCUGUUCUAUAAAAAUAACAUGUGUGUGUAUAUAUAUUAUAUAUUAUUUAUAUUAUUGUAUAUAUAUUAUAUAUUAUUUUCAACAUUUACUGUGUGGUACAAUUUAAAAUAACUGUUUCCUAUGUUGAAUGAACUUUAUUCCUGUGAUGAAAAGCUGAAUUUUCAGCAUAAUUUAUACUCCAGUCUUCAGUGUCAUAUGAUCACAAAACAUUUCUUAUUGUAAUCAAUGUUGAUAUUAUCAUUGCCACUACAAGGAUGAAAGCACAUUAUUUUCUGAAGGAUCACGUGAUGCUAGAAACUGGAGUAAUAAUGCUGAAAAUUCAGCUUUGCAUCACAGGAAUAAAUUACGAUAAUUAGGAGAUAUAUUCAAAUGUAAAGCAAUUCAUUUAAAAUUGAAAAAAAAAAAUGCAAUGCUACUGUUGCAUAUAUAUCCAUAGAAAUAUAAUAUUACAAUGCUAUAUAUAUAUAUAUAUAUAUAUAUUAUGAAUUAUAAAAUUAUUUGAAUCUAUAUUUCAGGAAUGUUUAGAUGAUGCAUGCUCUGACACGAAGAAGCAUCCCAAAGAGCAGGUCACCCCAAAGACUGUCUCUCUUCACCAUAACAUCACACCAGGCACUUUGACAGUGAAGGAUCAAAGAACACAACACCAUCGGCCAUAGCUGCGUCCCCCGUUCAGCUCGCACUGGACCCUCAGAACCGGUGGCCUUUGUGUUGGACCAUAGAUGGACAGAUCUGAUGAGAACUGCCCAUGAUCAUCACUUGGUAACGCACCAUGGGAGCAAGGAUCUUCUUAAACAGAGAUCAGCGCGAUACUCUCAUCAAGCAGGUAAAGUGAAUUCUGUACUUCUUUUAAAAAACUUUAAAAAAUUAAUUACGUAUUAAAUUAUCAUAUAAUCAUGUUUAUAUCAUUAAUUAUAGCAAUUGUUUAGAAUGUUAUGUGAUUUUCAAGUCUUUAGUGCAAAUACUGUACACCACGUAGACCAAAUUCUUUAUAAAUAAUGCAACUGCUGUACUUUAUUGUAAUAUCUUUGUUUUUAAAGAUGAAUGUUCAUAGAUGUCUUGCUAUAUCUAUAAUAUGUAGUGUGUAGUUAAUGAUUCUUCAGUUAAUUUAACCAUAUGUGCUGUUCUAUAAAAAUAACGUGUGUGUGUAUAUAUAUUAUAUAUUAUUUAUAUUAUUGUAUAUAUAUUAUAUAUUAUUUUCAACAUUUACUGUGUGGUACAAUUUAAAAUAACUGUUUCCUAUGUUGAAUGAACUUUAUUCCUGUGAUGAAAAGCUGAAUUAUCAGCAUAAUUUAUACUCAAGUCUUCAGUGUCAUAUGAUCCUUCAGAAAUCAUUAUUUAUAUGAUUACUUGCUCACAAAACAUUUCUUAUUGUAAUCAAUGUUGAUAUUAUCAUUGCCACUACAAGGAUGAAAGCACAUUAUUUUCUGAAGGAUCACGUGAUGCUGAAAACUGGAGUAAUAAUGCUGAAAAUUCAGCUUUGCAUCACAGGAAUAAAUUACGAUAAUUAGGAAAUAUAUUGAAAUGUAAAGCAAUUCAUUUAAAAUUGAAAAAAAAAAUGCAAUGCUACUGUUGCAUAUAUAUUCCAAGGAAAUAUAAUAUUACAAUGCUAUAUAUAUAUAUAUAUAUAUAUUAUUAUAUUAUAUAUAUAUAUAUAUAUAUAUAUAUUAUGAAUUAUAAAAUUAUUUGAAUCUAUAUUUCAGGAAUGUUUAGAUGAUGCAUGCUCUGACACGAAGAAGCAUCCCAAAGAGCAGGUCACCCCAAAGACUGUCUCUCUUCACCAUAACAUCACACCAGGCACUUUGACAGUGAAGGAUCAAAGGUCAGAAGUGUUUCUUCCAGAUGCAUACAGACACUA
rnacentral:lncRNA from 1 species